CUCAAGGCCAGCCCUAGACAGUUUGAGUCCAGAGAAACGUGCUAUCUUCUUCCAUGGCCUCCCCUUCAUUAUCCUUUAAUUUUGGUUCCCUCCCCCGACCCCAACAAGGCCUUUGCCCCUUCUUUCCUUUCUCUUUCUUCAAAAAGUAAUGUUACACUCACUUCUGCUAAUGUAUUAUAAGCUAUAUUUUCUUAGAAUACAUGAAUUUUAUAAGAGGCCCUUGAGAGAAAUUGUCACCCUAAGAAAUGAAUCUCCAUAUAAGUGUGGAAGAUCUGCUCCAAACUCUUUAAUUCAUAACAAACAAGACCUUUUAUUCUGUCUGUAAGUCAUGCCAAAACUGCCAAAACAAGCAUGAGUCUCCAAGUUUACUAUAAUACCUCUAUGUGCAUCUUAGAUUAUUUCUCUCUCCAGCAAAUAUGAGAAUUUGAAGUGAUCCUCAUACACGAACUUUGCAAAAGAACAUUUAGAUUUCAGGGAAAUCAGCAGGUGUGGUAACUCAUACCUGUAAUCCCAGUCCUUUGGGAGACCAAUGCAAGAGGAUCACUUGAGGCCAGGAAUUUGAGACCAGCCUGGGCAACAGAGUGAAAUCCUGUCUUUAUAAAAAGAAAAAGGAAAUUACCCAGGCACAGUGGUGCAUGCCUAUAGUCCUAGCUACUCAGGAGGCUGAGGCAGGAGGAUCGCUUGAGCCCAGAAGUUCAAGGUUACAGUGAACUCUGAUCAUGCCACAGUACUCCAGUCUGGGCAACAAAGCAAGAAAAAAAAAAUGGUUCUUUACAAAGACGAUUUCAGGGAAGCCUUGAUGACAGGGCUUCAGGGAAGUUCACUGGUGACAUCUGCCUGGGAUUCUCUUCCCAUCCCUUCAUGCUUGGCCACUGUCUACACUUUAUUCAGCCUCAGUUCAAACACUACUUCUUCAGCGAAGCCUUUCUUUUCUCACAACCCUCACUCUCAUGGUAGCUUGUGGAAUACUUCCACAUAUGUAAUUAAUUGUUUAAUGUCUAUCUCCCCACAAGAGAUGUGUCUGUCUUGUGUUCAGUUGUAUUCUCAGAGCUUAGCACAGUGCCUGGUACAUAGAAGGUCUCACGGCAAGUAUUUGUUGAAUUGAAUUAUUAUAUCUGUGCUGUCCAUGUGCUUCUAUUGCUGCAACUAUCACACUAUAUUGUAAUGUGUUUGUUUCCAUGUCUGUCCCUUAAGAGUAAUCAUAAAUCACUAAUUUUUGAAUUCCCAGAGUUUAACACAUUGCCAGGAUAAUCAAUAAUGAGAAAGGAAGGAAAUGAAAAAGGGAGAAAGGAAGAGAGGAAGGGAGUGAGGGAGGGAGGGAGGGAAGGAGGGAGCCUCACUGGCAUUUCUACAAUUCCAAUAUGAUCUUAAUAAUAAUAAAUCCUGUUUAUUAUUAUUUAAAUAAAGCAGAGAAUCAGGCUCUCAGUGUUAGAAGACUCAAAGAUUCACAGUAACUGCUAACUUCUUCACGGGUUCUUUAGUCAGCAUGUUUGCAAGAAUCUAUAGCAAUCUGAUUGUCCUCCUCCGGAAAAGAGAAUAAAAACUAACAUUUCUGGGCACCUACUAUGUGUCAGGCACUUUACAUGCAGCAUAGUUAGUUUAGCAACAAUCUAACUGAAUAAACAUCCAGUGAGUUGGUACUAAGUGCCCUGCACAUGACCUUGGGGAUCAAAGAUUUAUUAUUGUCCCUUUAAAAAAUAUGACUCCUAGAACUCAGGGCAAAAUUUCAGUUGUGUCCUAGCCAGUACAGGGGUGUGGGAUACACUGUCUCUAUCACUCCAGCAUAGGAUUCCAAUAAACCAUUUCACCACUGCAGACCUCAGGUUGCCUAACACAGUGCUUAUGGCCAACUAACUCCACACUAAGACAUUUUUAAUUUAAAUGCCGUCAAGCCAGUAUGUCCCCCACCUUGAUUGAGUCAAUUCAUUUCAAAACUUAAACCGAGUUUAUACUUUUGACUUUACACUAAUUUUAGACCAUCACUGUAGCCAGUUCAAAAUUGUAAUUCUCUAGUUCAUGCCUAUUCUAUCAUCAAACAUGAGAGAACAGCGGGCUGAGCCUACAAAGUGACCUUGGGCAAGUGUCUUAACUUCUCUGAACAAGGCUGCCCCAUUGAACAACUCCAGGGGGCCCCAUUCAUCCCAUUGUCUAUGCGAAUGCCUCCUCCUCAAGUUGUGUUGUGGCCUUAGCCCUGGAUCUGCCAUUCCUCAUCUGUAAAAUCAAUGGGUUAGACCAAAAACCUUAGUCUAUGAUUUGGGAUCACUUACACUUUUUGAUAAUUAUUCCUUCUAUACUUUCAUCCUCUUUACUAAUAAAAUUACUGAUGAGCUGCAAAAUACAGAAGAGGAUGUGUGUCCCCUAGGUCUCAUUUUGCAUUCUUGGGAGGCUGCGCUAACUAGGUCAACAGUCACCCUUCACUUCCUUUAGAGCACCAUAGGCCUUCAAGAGUGUGGAAGGCGGCAAGCAAACUGCCACUUCCUUGUCACAAUGAGCAAAAUCCUCAUGAGCAAUGAUGUGUAACAACAUGAAACAUAUAUUCUGAAAAACCCCUGAAAAAAGACAGCUGGCUGACCCUCAAUGGAUCUUAUCCACAGAGAGAAUAGAAUAACUGGUCUGAAAUCUUGACAUUGUGAUCAAUUAUGUGCCUUGCUCUUUCAGUUUUGCUGAGGCUGACAUCCACAACAGUGAGCUGUGAUUGGCUGUUACUGGAAAGACAGGAAAAUGCCAUGAAGCACACUGCUGGUUCAAAAAUGAAACCAAUAGUACUAGACUUCUUUAUGUUACUAAUUAUGUCUCCUAAAAAUGGGUAUUAACUUGGGAAAUAAUUCGAUAAAAGGACACAUGAUAAAUGUACUAUUUAUCAGCCAGGUGCAGUGGCUCACGCCUAUAAUCCCAGCACUUUGGGAGUCUGAGGCCAGUGGAUCACGAGGUCAAGAGUUGGAGACCACCCGGGCCAACCAACAUGGUGAAACCCGUCUCUACUAAAAAUACAAAACUUAGCUAGGCAUAGUGGCACAUGCCUGUGGUCCCAGCUACUCAGCAGGCUGAGGCAGGAGAAUUGCUUGAACCUGGGAGGUGGAGGUUGUAGUGAGCCAAGAUUACGCCACUGCACUCCAGCCCAGGUGACAGAGUGAGACUCCAUCUCAAAAAAAAAAAGUACUAUUAUCGAUAAGAGGCAAAUUAGCAUGUGCAAAAGCCCUGCCUGACAUGGGGGGAGAGGUUAGUGAGUUCCAGAAACUGAAGGAAACCAAGGUGUUAAGAGCACAGUGAGCAAGGGGGAAGAGGAUGGGAGACGAGGCCAAGAGGCACCAGCCCAUACAUGGAUAUGUCGACCAUGUUAAGCAUCUUGGAUUUGAACAUGCUUGUCCAAUAGUAGAGGAAUGGGGUAGUAAAUUAGUUUAUUGCAGCACCACAGAAUUCUACCCAUCACUGAUUCCCAAAGUAUGUCCUAACACUUUUUACUGGGACAGUUUUUCAUAGUGUAAAAAGAAAACGUUUCACGUAAAAAUUAAUUUGGAGAAUAUGUAUCAAAUCCUCAUCUUUUAAAAAAGCAUUUUAUAAUAUUAUAAGCUUUCUGAAAUACCACAAUGAAGAAAUUUAUUUACUUUUAUAAUUUCCCAAACUUAUUUGACUUCAGCGAUGUUUUAUUAUCCCCAAGUAAUGUCA
rnacentral:lncRNA from 1 species